ACCGCCCUCUUUCUUCAGGCUUAACACAUGCAAGUCGAACGCACCUUUCGGGGUGAGUGGCAGACGGGUGAGUAACGCGUGGGAAUCUACCCUUCUCUACGGGAUAGCUCCGGGAAACUGGAAUUAAUACCGUAUACGUCCUGAGGGAGAAAGAUUUAUCGGGGAAGGAUGAGCCCGCGUUGGAUUAGCUAGUUGGUGGGGUAAAGGCCUACCAAGGCGACGAUCCAUAGCUGGUCUAAGAGGAUGAUCAGCCACAUUGGGACUGAGACACGGCCCAAACUCCUACGGGAGGCAGCAGUGGGGAAUAUUGGACAAUGGGCGCAAGCCUGAUCCAGCCAUGCCGCGUGAGUGAUGAAGGCCCUAGGGUUGUAAAGCUCUUUCAGUGGGGACGAUAAUGACGGUACCCACAGAAGAAGCCCCGGCUAACUUCGUG
rnacentral:rRNA from 1 species